rnacentral:rRNA from 1 species
UACGAAGGGGGCUAGCGUUGCUCGGAAUUACUGGGCGUAAAGCGUGCGCAGGCGGUUUUGUAAGUCUGUCGUGAAAUCCCCGGGCUCAACCUGGGAAUGGCGAUGGAUACUGGCGAGCUAGAGUGUGUCAGAGGAUGGUGGAAUUCCCGGUGUAGCGGUGAAAUGCGUAGAGAUCGGGAGGAACAUCAGUGGCGAAGGCGGCCAUCUGGGACAACACUGACGCUGAAGCACGAAAGCGUGGGGAGCAAACAGG